rnacentral:rRNA from 1 species
UACGUAGGCAGCGAGCGUUUGUUCGGAGUUACUGGGCGUAAAGCGUGCGUAGGCGGUGUCUUAAGUUUGUUGUGAAAUCUCCCGGCUUAACCGGGAGGGUGCGGCGAAUACUGAGAUGCUGGAGUGCCGGAGAGGUAAGCGGAAUUCCUGGUGUAGCGGUGAAAUGCGUAGAUAUCAGGAGGAACACCUGCGGUGUAGACGGCUUACUGGACGGUAACUGACGCUGAGGCGCGAAAGCUAGGGGAGCAAACAGG